rnacentral:rRNA from 1 species
AACGAACGCUGGCGGCAUGCCUAACACAUGCAAGUCGAACGAACCCUUCGGGGUUAGUGGCGCACGGGUGCGUAACGCGUGGGAAUCUGCCCUUUGCUUCGGAAUAACUCAGGGAAACUUGUGCUAAUACCGGAUGAUGUCUUCGGACCAAAGAUUUAUCGGCAAGGGAUGAGCCCGCGUAGGAUUAGGUAGUUGGUGGGGUAAAGGCCUACCAAGCCGACGAUCCUUAGCUGGUCUGAGAGGAUGAUCAGCCACACUGGGACUGAGACACGGCCCAGACUCCUACGGGAGGCAGCAGUGGGGAAUAUUGGACAAAGGGCGCAAGCCUGAUCCAGCAAUGCCGCGUGAGUGAUGAAGGCCCUCGGGUCGUAAAGCUCUUUUACCAGGGAUGAUAAUGACAGUACCUGGAGAAUAAGCUCCGGCUAACUCCGUG